GCCGGCAUAGCUCAGAUGGUAGAGCAGCUGAUUUGUAAUCAGCAGGCCACGGGUUCGAUUCCUGUUGCCGGCUCCA
rnacentral:tRNA from 3 species